UUUCAGCCCAGCAGACCUGACCGUGUCAUAAUAGUUUGGCCUCCACAUCUUUGUUUAUGCUGAAAUGCCAACCAAGUUCCAACUUCUCCAUUACGUGAAGGCUUCACUGAUGACUAAAUUCCAGGAUCCAUCCGAGACACCACGUUUACAUUUAGCUGUUCUGUAUCCUUAACACUCCUAUUUGAGAGGGGCAGUUUCUCAGAUUUUUCUUGGUUUUGAUGACUUUGAAGAGUACUCAUCAAAUAUUUUGUCGAAUGUCCCUCAAUUGGAAAUUGCCUGGUGUUCUUCUUGUGACUAGACUGGGUUAUGGGUCUUUGGGAGGAAGUCCACAAAGAUGAAGUGCCAUUUUCAUCACAUCACAUCAACGAUACAUACUAUCGACAUGACUUAUCACUGUUGAAAUUGACCUUGAUCACCUGGCUGAGGUGAAGAUAAAAACCUCGUCAAUGUUUUAAUCAAGCAAUUAAAUAAUGUAUCUGACAAAGUAAAAUGACAUCCAUAAUCAAUUGGCUUUGUAGCUCAGAAGACUGUAUAACAUGUAAAAGAAUUUUGCAAUCACUGAAAAAAUAGAUUAAUGACACUGAAAAAUGAUGUGUUAUGAAUUUUCCAAGGAUAAGAAAUGUGCCUGGUCUCCAUAUAAUUUAACACAGAAAAAGUGAAUUAUGUUAGUUUUAAUUCUCACUGGAUAUAUCUUAGCCCUAAAGUUCUAAUAAAAAAGAUGACAGUUUGGGAGAACCUGAUGACCUGGAUGGAAGAUUUCAUCCAGUUAAGAGGGCUGCUGUUAUGUUCUUGUGGCAUGCAAAUGCUGCAAGAUACUGCCUGUCCCCAAGGACGUUGCAACAAUCAAGAAUAACAAUACUGUUAGGCUUCCUUGCCACAUGUAUCUGAAAAACGCUCCACAAUAUGCUUCAGAGGUGAAGGCCUAGCUUGUCAGUGCUUUUGCUACUGGCCCAUUGGAGAAAACCUCCCAUUUUAUCAACUUCUGUCUCUCAGAGAAUGUAAUAGAUGAUGGGUCCUGAGAUUGAAGUAUCCCCCAUCCACGGCCAGGACUUAGCAAAAAACAGUGACAUGCCAUGGAAGGGACACGUGAAUCUGCAGCAGGGAAAAUAAACUACAUGGCAAGGGUGAAUGCCUCUGUAGGACACAGAACUAAGAGAAGAGACAGAUUAACACAUUUUAAUUUAAGUGUAUCAUGCACUUUUAAGGAACCACGAUUAGAUGUUAUAAAAGGCUUUUGGAAAAAACCAAAACAUGAUUUCAGAAUUUAGAAUAGUAACAGAUGAAUCAACAAAAUUAAAAUGAUAAAGAAGUUCGUUUUCUGGAAGAUUUGCAGAAAUAUAAAAUCUUAACAUAGUACAUAAGUACAAAGAAAUAAAAUUGUGAUUAUAUUGAUAAAAGACAUGAAUGAUCUAGAAGACCGUAUAAUCCAAUAGGUAAGAUUUCCAUAAGGACAAAAUGGAACAGAUGGAAACAUGUUGAUCAAGAUUCUUCCUACAAACAACAGAAUGCACUCUGGCUACUUGAAGAAUUAAAUGAAUUUAUUAAAAUGUAUCUUAAAAUUGCAACUUUAAAUUGCAGAAUCUCUGCAAUGGCUGGAGAGCUAACCUGUGAAGCUAUGAGAUAGACAUAAUGCCCAAGAAAAACUUGGAGGCAUCUCUAGCAAAAAUGUGACUGCCCUAACCACUUGGUAACUUUGCCAUUCAGGACUAAGGACCGGAUUCUGAAGCUAGACAGCUAAGAAUGAUGCUUAAGCACAAAUGGGCUUCUGUAGUACAAAUGGCAUCAGCACCACUACUUAAGACAGAAGGCAAAAGAUUUCCUACCCUACUAUGCCCCAAGAAUGUGGCAUCUCUGCCACCACACCUGCCAGAUGAUAGAUUCCCAGUUCUUAGUAUUUUAGCUUCUAAGUUGGAGGGUGGAAGUCACACUGGAAAAUUACCAGUAUUUAGGCAUAGUAUUUCAAGAUGUUAAGCAACUACAAGUGGCCAAUAUUCACUGGAAGGUACAAUCUUCCAAAAAAUGAUAGCACUUCUUUGAGAUGAAAAGAAAUUUGAGGUUUUAGAUUGACUGUGCUUGCCACAUCCCAGAAAGGAUUAAAAGACAUAGACACAACCACAUCAGAGAUAUAAUUCUUUUGCUUGGUUGCCAGUUAUAUGAUGCCAUCUAGAUUGAGAGUGAGUGUGGGGUCAUAUUAUCCUGUUUUCAGACCCAUAAAUAAUCCCCUCAUUUUUUGCCCUCCUUUUCACUUCUGCUCUCUCUCUCUCAGACUAGUGGAUUAUGAAUCCCCACUUUCUCUGGGUCAUUUUCCAGACUUCAGCUCAUUUUCCAUACUGUAAUUUUGGCUCUGCCUUGAUAGUCAGUAUGCAAUCAUUCACUUGAGAAAUUCAUUAAAAUCACUUCUGUUCUCAUGGCCCCAUUUCUCAAUCUUUUUGCUGUUGUCCGUUUAUACUAUAUUUAUUCCUUUGCAAUCGUUUCAAUGAGUCCUCAGGAGGCGAGGGAUAGAAAUCUGUUUUAAGUCUACCAUCUUAACCUGUAAAUCUCC
ensembl:lncRNA